GUGCUCGCUUUGGCAGCACAUGUACUAAAA
rnacentral:snRNA from 1 species